CUGGAACUGCUCCUGAUCAGCACAGCUCCAGUGGAGUUCAGCCUACUGGAGCUAUGGAGAAGGGAAGUCUUCCUGUCAGUGCUGCUCUAGAGACCUCAGUUUUCCUUCAUUUAGAUACGGACUUGCCUUUCCUGCCUGUUGUGCCUCAGCUAUCACCACGAUGUGAGGGUUCAUGAAGCAUAUGAUAUCCUGGCAUGGGGUCACACCUAACAUCAUCUUUGGACCAAGGGACCUUCUUUGCAGUAAAAGUUGACCUUGGCCAAGCAAAAGGCCCCUUGCCUGGGAAGUUAUCUCCACUAGGGUGGAUAGCCCAUUCCAAUAACUGACUGACUUGGGAGAUACUGACUGUGGACACUCUCGCUUCAAGGUGAGAUG